GGAUACUUAUCACUUUCGCUUAGCCACUGAGAUUGCUCCCAACAGCUAGUAUCCAUCGUUUACGGCGUGGACUACCAGGGUAUCUAAUCCUGUUCGCUACCCACGCUUUCGUCCAUCAGCGUCAAUCAAUUAGUAGUAACCUGCCUCGCAAUUGGUAUUCCAUGUAAUCUCUAAGCAUUUCACCGCUACACUACAUAUUCUAGUUACUUCCUAAUAAUUCAAGUCUAACAGUAUCAAUGGCCGUUCCACCGUUGAGCGAUGGGCUUUCACCACUGACUUAUUAAACCGCCUACGGACCCUUUAAACCCAAUGAUUCCGGAUAACGCUUGGAUCCUCCGUAUUACCGCGGCUGCUGGCACGGAGUUAGCCGAUCCUUAUUCUUACGAUACCGUCAAGCUACUUCACGAAGUAGUGUUUCUUCUCGUAUAAAAGCAGUUUACAAUCCAUAGGACCGUCAUCCUGCACGCGGCAUGGCUGGAUCAGGCUUGCGCCCAUUGUCCAAUAUUCCUCACUGCUGCCUCCCGUAGGAGUCUGGUCCGUGUCUCAGUACCAGUGUGGGGGAUCUCCCUCUCAGGACCCCUACCCAUCGUAGCCUUGGUAAGCCGUUACCUUACCAACUAGCUAAUGGGACGCAUGCUCAUCUUUUACCGUUGUGACUUUAAUAGUGGCUUCAUGCGAAGCUGCUAUGCUAUGAGGUAUUAAUCCAAAUUUCUCUGGGCUAUCCCUCUGUAAAAGGUAGAUUGCAUACGCGUUACGCACCCGUGCGCCGGUCUCAAGCUCCGAAGAGCUCUACCCCUCGACUGCAUG
rnacentral:rRNA from 1 species